AAUGAACGCUGGCGGCAUGCCUUACACAUGCAAGUCGAACGGCAGCAUGACCUAGCUUGCUAGGUUGAUGGCGAGUGGCGGACGGGUGAGUAAUGCAUCGGAACGUGCCUUUUAGUGGGGGAUAACGUAGCGAAAGUUACGCUAAUACCGCAUAUUCUCUGAGGCGGAAAGCAGGGGACCUUCGGGCCUUGCGCUAGAAGAGCGGCCGAUGUCGUAUUAGCUAGUUGGUGAGGUAAAGGUUCCCAAAGGCAACGAUCCGUACCGGGUCUGAGAGGAUGAUCGGCCACACGGGGACGGAGACAAGGCCAAGGCUACUACGGGAGGCAGCAGUGGGGAAUUGUGGACAAUGGGCGCAAGCCUUAUCCAGCGAUGCGGCGUCAGUGAAGAAGGCCUUCGGGUUGGAAAGCUCUUUCGGCUGGGAAGAAAUCGCACCCUCUGAUACAGAGUGUGGAUGACGGUAACAGCAAAAGAAGCACCGGCUAACUACGUG
rnacentral:rRNA from 1 species